rnacentral:rRNA from 1 species
AGUGGCGAACGGGUGAGUAAUGCAUCGGAACGUACCCGGGAGUGGGGGAUAACGCACCGAAAGGUGUGCUAAUACCGCAUAUUCUGUGAGCAGGAAAGCAGGGGACCUUAGGGCCUUGUGCUUCCGGAGCGGCCGAUGUCGGAUUAGCUAGUUGGUGAGGUAAAGGCUCACCAAGGCGACGAUCCGUAGCGGGUCUGAGAGGAUGAUCCGCCACACUGGGACUGAGACACGGCCCAGACUCCUACGGGAGGCAGCAGUGGGGAAUUUUGGACAAUGGGCGCAAGCCUGAUCCAGCCAUGCCGCGUGUCUGAAGAAGGCCUUCGGGUUGUAAAGGACUUUUGUCAGGAAGGAAAUCCUAGUGGCUAAUACCCAUUGGGGAUGACAGUACCUGAAGAAUAAGCACCGGCUAACUACGUGCCAGCAGCCGCGGUAAUACGUAGGGUGCAAGCGUUAAUCGGAAUUACUGGGCGUAAAGCGUGCGCAGGCGGCUUGUUAAGCUUGAUGUGAAAUCCCCGGGCUCAACCUGGGAACUGCAUUGAGGACUGGCAAGCUAGAGUGCGGCAGAGGGGGUUGGAAUUCCACGUGUAGCAGUGAAAUGCGUAGAGAUGUGGAGGAACACCGAUGGCGAAGGCAGACCCCUGGGUCGACACUGACGCUCAUG